GAUGAACGCUGGCGGCGUGCCUAAUACAUGCAAGUCGAGCGAACAGACGAGGAUCUUGCUCCUCUGACGUUAGCGGCGGACGGGUGAGUAACACGUGGAUAACCUACCUAUAAGACUGGGAUAACUUCGGGAAACCGGAGCUAAUACCGUAUAAUAUAUUGAAGCGCAUGGUUCAAUAGUGAAAGACGGUGUUUCUGGCACUUAUAGAUGGAUCCGCGCCGCAUUAGCUAGUUGUUAAGGUAACGGCUUACCAAGGCAACGAUGCGUAGCCGACCGGAGAGGGUGAUCGGCCACACUGGAACUGAGACACGGUCCAGACUCCUACGGGAGGCAGCAGUAGGGAAUCUUCCGCAAUGGGCGAAAGCUUGACGCAGCAACGCCGCGUGAGUGAUGAAGGUCUUCGGAUCGUAAAACUCUGUUAUUAGGGAAGAACAACUGUGUAAGUAACCAUGGCCGUCUUGACGGUACCUAAUCAGAAAGCCCCGGCUAACUACGUG
rnacentral:rRNA from 1 species